rnacentral:misc_RNA from 1 species
GAAAUGCGAUAAUUAAUGUGAAUUGCAGAAUUCAGUGAAUCAUCGAGUCUUUGAACGCACAUUGCGCCCCCUGGUAUUCCGGGGGGCAUGCCUGUCCGAGCGUCAUUGCUGCCCUCAAGCACGGCUUGUGUGUUGGGCUUCCGUCCCUGGCAACGGGGACGGGCCCAAAAGGCAGUGGCGGCACCAUGUCUGGUCCUCGAGCGUAUGGGGCUUUGUCACCCGCUCCCGUAGGUCCAGCUGGCAGCUAGCCUCGCAACCAAUCUUUUUAACCAGGUUGACCUCGGAUCAGCUAGGGAUACCCGCUGAACUUAAGC